rnacentral:rRNA from 1 species
UACGAAGGGGGCUAGCGUUGCUCGGAAUCACUGGGCGUAAAGGGUGCGUAGGCGGGUCUUUAAGUCAGGGGUGAAAUCCUGGAGCUCAACUCCAGAACUGCCUUUGAUACUGGGGAUCUCGAGUCCGGGAGAGGUGAGUGGAACUCCGGAGUGUAGAGGUGAAAUUCGUAGAUAUUCGGAAGAACACCAGUGGCGAAGGCGGCUCACUGGCCCGGUACUGACGCUGAGGUGCGAAAGCGUGGGGAGCAAACAGG